CGUAGCUCUGCCUCUCUCUCUCUCUCUCUCGCUCUCUCGAUGCCGACGUUCUUUCUGCGUUAUAUGUGGUAGGCUCCGACAUCGUUUUCAGAUCUGUGGCAAGGCUCCCCAAAUCGUUAUCUGUGUUGCACUCUCUCUCUUGGAGUUGGAUCUCAAGAUACUUCGCAUCGUUUUCAGAUCUAUGGAUUUAAUAUUGGGAGAAGGACCUUUCCCCAAAUGAUCAGUCUCUCCGAUUCGCCCCAGAAAUCGAUUUUAGCUCCAGUAAUGGGCAUCCACUUAGCGCUCUGUCUUUCAUGGUGGUCUGUUUCUUUGUUCUUCUCUUGUUAUAUGCUUUUGUUGUUCCAUUUGCUCAGUUCUCAUGAAAUUUCCUUGACUAAUUAGUUCCAUUAAUUAUUUGAUUGGUUGCUUAGAAAUUUGGAUAGAUAGAUAUUUCAUUUCAUGGUUAGAGUUAUCCCUAUAUGAAAGGAAGAAGCGUUCUUUAAUUAUUGGACAUUGUUCAUUUUCUAAUUCUAAAUAAGAAAAUAAAUCACCUAGUGUCUACCCAUACAAUUUUUCAAUCAGUGAAUGUACAGUAACUAGCUUUGGAAGCUUGAGGUGUUUAGAUCGAUAUUCAAAGUUACGAACUACUUUUUUUGAGCUUGAUGGUCAAUUUGGUUAUGUGAAACAUACAAUUAAUUGUGCACUUGGUCAGUUGUCUUUGUUUAGCUUAUCACUGCUCAAUGUUAAAUGGGUAUUUGCAAAAACCCAUGUGGAACGAGGUCGAGGAUUUCCAAAAGGAUCCGCCUACCUCGUGUAGUGCUGGUAUAGGCUCCUUUUACCCCUCUCUUUCAUGCUUAUAUCUCAAUUUUUAUUAUGAAAAUCCUGAUUUCCGUUUCAGAAUAUAUAAAAUGACAUGGGAUAUAGAAGGUACAUAUUGACUAGUUAAUUUUAAGGCAAAGUACUUUUGGUUGAUCAAGUGCAAUUGACGUUACAAGACAUUUAUCUAGCAAAUGAAUUUGCUGCUUUCAACUGAAAUUUUCGAGGAUGGUUUUAGUGAAGUUGCUAUUGUCCUUUCUUAUUAACUUCCCAGUAAGUGAAUGGAUACAAGUACAUUACAUCUGCAUGCUAUUUCAGUUUUUCUUGCUCUGGACUUAAUUAUUUUUUACUCCAAUCUGGAAGGCAGUUUCCUGAGCAUGCAAUCAAGGGAUUGUUGAAGAUGAACUGGCAACCUUGCAGUCCAUCGUGGUGAAGCUUAUUCUUAUUACAAGGACUUUGGGAGACAUAUUGCUAUGAACAAAGAAAAAACCAAUAGAAACAGUAGAAGCCCCAGAGUGACAUGAGCAAAUAGACUGAAUUAUCGAAGGGAAGGAGGUGCUGCUAUUCAUUGGAGAGAUUUGAGCACUUUGGAGCUUGCGUACAUCAUUGUUAAUUGAAUUUCAAGAGGGAAGGAAACACGAGAGCAUAAGUGAGAUGAUGACUGCUUACUACUUAGCUGCAUUGUGGCUACAAGAUCAAUGCUUGCCACAUUAAAAAUUCAGGCAACUCAAAUGUGGUGGCAUGUUAGAGAGGGAGAUAGGAUUUAUGAACAAGAUUUCACAAGGGAGAAGAGGGUAUGAACAAGAUUUAAUGAAAUGUGUAGUUCGGCUCCAUAAGCCAUCAUGUAUGAGAAAUUUCUGAUGAAGGGUCUCAAUGACUUUUGCAUGUUCUUAGAAGAAAUAUAUGGUGCAAUUAGCACCAAUU